UACGGAGGGUGCAAGCGUUAAUCGGAAUUACUGGGCGUAAAGCGUGCGUAGGUGGUUCGUUAAGUCUGCCGUGAAAGCCCCGGGCUCAACCUGGGAAUGGCGGUGGAUACUGGCGGACUAGAGUGCGGUAGAGGGUGGUGGAAUUCCCGGUGUAGCAGUGAAAUGCGUAGAGAUCGGGAGGAACAUCUGUGGCGAAGGCGGCCACCUGGACCAGCACUGACACUGAGGCACGAAAGCGUGGGGAGCAAACAGG
rnacentral:rRNA from 1 species